UACGUAGGUUGCAAGCGUUGUCCGGAAUUACUGGGUGUAAAGGGAGCGUAGGCGGCGGCGCAAGUCAGAAGUGAAAGCCCGGGGCUCAACUCCGGGACUGCUUUUGAAACUGUGCUGCUAGAUUGCGGGAGAGGCAAGUGGAAUUCCUAGUGUAGCGGUGAAAUGCGUAGAUAUUAGGAGGAACACCAGUGGCGAAGGCGGCUUGCUGGACCGUGAAUGACGCUGAGGCUCGAAAGCGUGGGGAGCAA
rnacentral:rRNA from 1 species